GCGGGAGUAACUCAGUGGUAGAGUUCUUGCUUGCCAAGCAAGUUGUCGCGAGUUCGAAUCUCGUCUCCCGCU
rnacentral:tRNA from 1 species